GGUCUGUGAUGCCCUUAGAUGUCCGGGGCCGCACGCGCGCUACACUGAAGGAAUCAGCAUGGCUUUCUCCCUGGCCCGAGAGGGUUGGGAAACCCGUUGAAUCUCCUUCGUGAUAGGGAUUGGGGCUUGAAAUUGUUCCCCAUGAACGAGGAAUUCCCAGUAAGCGCGAGUCAUAAGCUCGCGUUGAUUACGUCCCUGCCCUUUGUACACACCGCCCGUCGCUACUACCGAUUGAACGGUUUAGUGAGGGCCUCGGAUUGGUCUCGGCCCGCCCUUAACCGGGCGGCGCCGUUGGUCGAGAAGACGCCCGAACUUGAUCGUUUAGAGGAAGUAAAAGUCGUAACAAGGUUUCCGUAGGUGAAAGAAAACGUCCGAACUUGAUCAUUUA
rnacentral:rRNA from 1 species